AUGAAUAUUAUGUGAUGCAUUUGCAGGAAAGUUAAUAGUUUAAAUAUGGAUAAAUCUUGGAUGUUGAUGGAUAGAAGGUCUAUAGAAUAUGAAAAUGGGAUAAAUGAGUUUCUCAAGUUUGCAAUACUUCAUGCUAGUAAUCCUAAACUUUUAAGAUGUCCAUGCCAAGCAUGUGGUAAUUUGGUCUUUCAUGUACCUGCUGAGAUAAGAAAUCAUCUUUAUUGGAAAGGUAUUGACCAAAGCUAUCAGACAUGGACUUGGCAUGGAGAAGGAGCUUCUAGUAGACGACCAUCAAAUGUAAAAGCUUCAUUUGAUGGCAGUCAACAAGAUGAUGAAGCUGCUGAUACAUAGAAAUGGUUAAUGAUGCAUUUGACACUUGUAAUGGUGACCCCAAGUCUUUCGAAACUCUACUUAAAGAGGCUGAAAAACCUUUGUUUCCUGGCUGUGUGAAAUUCACUAAGUUAUCUGCCUUAAUAAGGCUUUACAAUAUUAAAGGAAGAAAUGGAUGGUCAGACAAAAUUUUUUCAGAUUUACUAAGUUGUUUAUCAUAUAUGCUUCCUGAUAAAAAUAUCAACAAACAAAGAACACACAAAUAAUUUUCACUUUCAUUCUUAAUUUUGAAAGAAUCAAUUUAUUUUAUUAAUAACAUCUAUUAGAUUCUUGACAAACAAUCACAGAGAUACAGUAGUAGAAACUAUAUUAGACACUCCAGUUGCUUAAUUAGUAAAAAUGUGAUCUUAUUACCUUAUUUUUUGGGGUUAAUUCUAUAAUUUUAUCAAUUGUUCUUGUGGUUGCAAACAAUAUCAUUUUUUAAUAUUAAUAAAACUAAAUGAAUAUUAUGUGAUGCAUUUGCAGGAAAGUUAAUAGUUUAAAUAUGGAUAAAUCUUGGAUGUUGAUGGAUAGAAGGUCUAUAGAAUAUGAAAAUGGGAUAAAUGAGUUUCUCAAGUUUGCAAUACUUCAUGCUAGUAAUCCUAAACUUUUAAGAUGUCCAUGCCAAGCAUGUGGUAAUUUGGUCUUUCAUGUACCUGCUGAGAUAAGAAAUCAUCUUUAUUGGAAAGGUAUUGACCAAAGCUAUCAGACAUGGACUUGGCAUGGAGAAGGAGCUUCUAGUAGACGACCAUCAAAUGUAAAAGCUUCAUUUGAUGGCAGUCAACAAGAUGAUGAAGCUGAUACAGUAGAAAUAGUUAAUGAUGCAUUUGACACUUGUAAUGGUGACCCCAAGUCGUUCGAAACCCUACUUAAAGAUGCUGAAAAACCUUUGUUUCCUGGCUGUGUGAAAUUCACUAAGUUAUCUGCCUUAAUAAGGCUUUACAAUAUUAAAGGAAGAAAUGGAUGGUCAGACAAAAUUUUUUCAGAUUUACUAAGUUGUU
rnacentral:lncRNA from 1 species